GACCCAGUGGUGUAACGCUCAACACACCAGCUUCUACUGUGCAGGAGCUCACCGUAUCAGGGUAUGCUGGAGAACCCCGUUUGACUCGGGGCUGGGUCA